CGGCAGCGCGGGAGCAAUCCUGGCGGCGAGUGGCGAACGGGUGAGUAAUACAUCGGAACGUGCCCAAUCGUGGGGGAUAACGCAGCGAAAGCUGUGCUAAUACCGCAUACGAUCUACGGAUGAAAGCAGGGGAUCGCAAGACCUUGCGCGAAUGGAGCGGCCGAUGGCAGAUUAGGUAGUUGGUGAGGUAAAGGCUCACCAAGCCUUCGAUCUGUAGCUGGUCUGAGAGGACGACCAGCCACACUGGGACUGAGACACGGCCCAGACUCCUACGGGAGGCAGCAGUGGGGAAUUUUGGACAAUGGGCGCAAGCCUGAUCCAGCCAUGCCGCGUGCAGGAUGAAGGCCUUCGGGUUGUAAACUGCUUUUGUACGGAACGAAACGGCCUUUUCUAAUAAAGAGGGCUAAUGACGGUACCGUAAGAAUAAGCACCGGCUAACUACGUGCCAGCAGCCGCGGUAAUACGUAGGGUGCAAGCGUUAAUCGGAAUUACUGGGCGUAAAGCGUGCGCAGGCGGUGAUGUAAGACAGUUGUGAAAUCCCCGGGCUCAACCUGGGAACUGCAUCUGUGACUGCAUCGCUGGAGUACGGCAGAGGGGGAUGGAAUUCCGCGUGUAGCAGUGAAAUGCGUAGAUAUGCGGAGGAACACCGAUGGCGAAGGCAAUCCCCUGG
rnacentral:rRNA from 1 species